rnacentral:rRNA from 1 species
UAGGGAAUCUUCCGCAAUGGACGCAAGUCUGACGGAGCAACGCCGCGUGAGUGAAGAAGGAUUUCGGUUCGUAAAACUCUGUUGUUAGAGAAGAACAGCGCAUAGAGUAACUGUUAUGCGUGUGACGGUAUCUAACCAGAAAGCCACGGCUAACUACGUGCCAGCAGCCGCGGUAAUACGUAGGUGGCAAGCGUUGUCCGGAUUUAUUGGGCGUAAAGCGAGCGCAGGCGGUCAAUUAAGUCUGAUGUGAAAGCCCCCGGCUCAACCGGGGAGGGUCAUUGGAAACUGGUUGACUUGAGUGCAGAAGAGGAGAGUGGAAUUCCAGGUGUAGCGGUGAAAUGCGUAGAUAUAUGGAGGAACACCAGGGGCGAAGGCGACUCUCUGGUCUGUAGCUGACGCUGAGGCUCGAAAGCGUGGGUAGCAAACAGG